rnacentral:rRNA from 1 species
UACGUAGGGUGCAAGCGUUGUCCGGAAUUAUUGGGCGUAAAGAGCUCGUAGGCGGUUUGUCGCGUCGGCUGUGAAAGCCCGGAGCUCAACUCCGGGUCUGCAGUCGAUACGGGCAGACUUGAGUGUUGCAGGGGAGACUGGAAUUCCUGGUGUAGCGGUGAAAUGCGCAGAUAUCAGGAGGAACACCGAUGGCGAAGGCAGGUCUCUGGGCCACUACUGACGCUGAGAAGCGAAAGCAUGGGGAGCGAACAGG